UAAUUUUUUAAUAUGUAUUUUAACUGAUAGCAAUCAGAGACUGAAGAAAACAAGUUAAUGCCAUUCAGUUUUGUUCUUUUGGAUGUGUUUAGCAUGAGACCAGAUCCCACUGAGUUAAUAGGCCUUAAAUUGCUGCUGUAGUCCAUCCAAACAUUUAAGCUUAAUGGUUUUUGGAAAAGCAGACUUGGGUGGUUCUCACUUGAAUUCAAGGCCAGCUUGGUUUAAUAUUACAGCCAGGG